GAUGAACGCUGGCGGCGUGCUUAAUACAUGCAAGUCGAACGGGGAUUUUGUAUUCGUACGAAAUCUUAGUGGCGAACGGGUGAGUAACGCGUUGGUGACCUGCCCCGAAGAGAGGGACAACAGUUCGAAAGGACUGCUAAUACCUCAUGUGGUCGUAAGGGUUAGAUAUCUUACGUCUAAACGGAGUAAUCCGCUUCGGGAGGGGCCUGCGUCCCAUCAGCUAGUUGGUAAGGUAACGGCUUACCAAGGCGAUGACGGGUAGGGGACCUGAGAGGGUGGCCCCCCACAAUGGAACUGAAACACGGUCCAUACACCUACGGGAGGCUG
rnacentral:rRNA from 1 species